GACGAACCGUGCGAACGUUGUUCGGAAUCACUGGGCUUAAAGGGCGCGUAGGUGGUUUGCCAAGUCGGGGUUGAAAUCUUUCGGCUUAACCGGAAAAGUGGCUUCGAUACUGGCAAGCUGGAGGGAGGUAGGGGCGGAUGGAACUUCCGGUGGAGCGGUGAAAUGUGUUGAUAUCGGAAGGAACGCCAGUGGCGAAAGCGAUCCGCUGGACCUCUUCUGACACUGAGGCACGAAAGCCAGGGGAGCAAACGGG
rnacentral:rRNA from 1 species